AUACGUAGGGGGCAAGCGUUGUCCGGAAUGACUGGGCGUAAAGGGCGUGUAGGCGGCCGAUUAAGUCUGGAGUGAAAGUCCCGCUUUCAAGGUGGGAAUUGCUUUGGAAACUGGUUGGCUUGAGUGCGGAAGAGGUAAGUGGAAUUCCCAGUGUAGCGGUGAAAUGCGUAGAGAUUGGGAGGAACACCAGUGGCGAAGGCGACUUACUGGGCCGUAACUGACGCUGAGGCGCGAAAGCGUGGGGAGCGAAAAGGAUUAGAUACCCUGGUAUUCCACGCCGUAAACGAUGAAUACUAGGUGUAGGAGGUAUCGACCCCUUCUGUGCCGCAGUAAACACAGUAAGCAUUCCGCCUGGGGAGUACGGUCGCAAGAUUAAAACUCAAAGGAAUUGACGGGG
rnacentral:rRNA from 1 species